rnacentral:rRNA from 1 species
ACGUAGGGUGCGAGCGUUAAUCGGAAUUACUGGGCGUAAAUCGUGCGCAGGCGGCUUUGCAAGCCAGACGUGAAAGCCCCGGGCUUAACCUGGGAAUGGCGUUUGGGACUGCAAGGCUGGAGUGCGGCAGAGGGAACUGGAAUUCCUGGUGUAGCAGUGAAAUGCGUAGAUAUCAGGAGGAACACCGAUGGCGAAGGCAGGUUCCUGGGCCAGCACUGACGCUCAUGCACGAAAGCGUGGGGAGCAAACAGGAUUAGAUACCCUGGUAGUCCACGCCCUAAACGAUGGCAACUAGUUGUUGGGGGGGAAACCCCUUAGUAACGAAGCUAACGCGUGAAGUUGCCCGCCUGGGGAGUACGGUCGCAAGAUUA